rnacentral:rRNA from 1 species
GAUGAACGCUGGCGGCGCGCUUAACACAUGCAGGUCGAACGAGAAAUUUAUAUUGGAACCUUCGGGUGAAGAUAUAAAUGGAAAGUGGCGGACGGGUGAGUAACGCGUGGGUAACCUACCUUGUACAGGGGGAUAACAGUCUGAAAAGGCUGCUAAUACCGCAUAAGACUACGGUGUCGCAUGACACAGUAGUAAAAGCUCCGACGGUACAAGAUGGACCCGCGUCUGAUUAGCUAGUAGGUAAGGUAAUGGCUUACCUAGGCAACGAUCAGUAGCCGGCCUGAGAGGGUGAACGGCCACAUUGGAACUGAGACACGGUCCAA